UGGACCUACAAUACAGGGCCAAGGAGGGGUCAAUAUUGUACUUAUGCAGCAGAGGAUCACAUGAGCCCCUGAAUCAGAAAAAGGUCACAAUAAUCAAAUGAGCUCCCAAGUAGAGUCACAAUCUUUUGACUUGAAACACUACAAAUAAAAAUGCAUGUAAAAUGGCUAUAGAGGGAAAAAUACAAGUUUGCUGAAGGUAAAAAAAGAUAGCUGCUUAUAUGUAGAAAAUUAUGGGGGUUUGUGAAGCUUAGAUGGAAAGUCGCAAACCACAAAUAAAUGACCACUUCAGAAUGCAACAAAAAACAGUCAAGGUUCUUGCGAGUAAAAAAAUACAUGACAAAACUAAUCUUGUGUCCAGAGUGAGGGAAGGGAGGCCAAGAGGAUUGCUUUGGAAAUGAAAGAGGGAGAGGCUGACUGUGGGGAAAGAGGAAAGAAGGAAGGGAGGGUGGCUGGGGAAGAGAAAGAGAAGGAAAAGAGGAUUUGUUUUGGGAACGAGAGAAAGGGGGAAAGGUCGAUCGAGGGGAAAGAGGAGAGAAGGGAGGGAGGCUGGGAAGGAGAAAGAGAAGGAAAAGAAGGGAAAAUGGCUGAGUACAUGACCAAAAGCUGUUACUAUAAGAUUCUUGGAUACAACUGAAGUCCUACAAACAUGAAGGUUCUUGUGAGUUUAAAAAUACAUAGCAGAAAACUAAUCUUGAGUCUUGUGUAAGGGAGGCAAGUAGAUAUUUGUUUGGACUGAGAAAAUGACCAAAAGCUGUUACUAUAUGAUUCUUGAAGUACCACCAACAUGAGAGGUCCUUGUGAGCUUAAAAUAUAUGGCAGAAAACCGAUCUUGUGUCUAUGGUAAGGGAAGGG